AACCCCUUUUUUUCCCCAUUGAUUUUCAUUGAAUAUCGUCUGAGUUAUACUUAAUUGUUUUGAGCUGUUUUCAGAGCAUUUUAAAGCAUAUUUUUUUGAAGUAAACUUGAUUUUGAACUCCUAAACUUGGAUGAAUUGCUUCCUUUUUGUAUUUUGUUAGCACCCAAAAUAACAAUUUUAUUGAUAGAUUUUAAAUCUAAUACUCCCUCUAUCCCGAUUUAGUUUGAUUGGGCAAGGAGUUUAUGGAAUAAAGGAGAGAUUUUUAAAAUUUUUAGUGGUCUUAAACUUGCCACGUAGAAGGUUCAAAUAUAGAAUGAGAGGAUUUUUUUUCAAACGACUGAAAAAGGAAAGUAAGAUACUUAAAUUGGGAAGGAGUGAGUACUAUUUUCGUUGCGUUCUUGUAAUUUGUUAUCCAUGGAUGUUUUUUGGAGUUAUUUUUCUUGUUAUUUGCUGAAUUUGUAUUUUUUUUUUGUACGAGUGAUUAGGAACCUGAUUACUGAGCUCUUGAUAGGACAAAAAAUGAUUUUGACACUAUAACUAACGUGUUUUGGAAUUAGUCGAAGUGUGCCCAAGCUAGCAUGGACACCAUAGUUAUCAGAAAAAAAAUGAAUAUUUUGGAAAAUGUACAAUCGAUCAGAUUCAUGUCUGUGAUGCUCCUUUGGUUGGUGUAUUGAUGUGAAAAUAAUAUUUAAGAAUCAGUUUAUUUGGAAUGAUGUUGCAAAGAUUGUAACUUUUUUAGGAAUGUGACGUGCCCUUUGUAUGCGAUUUUGUAGGCUUCUGAUAGUUUUAUAACCAUGGGUAACAGCAGAAUAAAUCCUACUUAUUUCGGAAAACUUGAAGCGUGAUCUUUGUUUAAAGUGAUCCCUUAAGGAUGUAGUGUAAGUAAUAGGUGUACGUUAGAGAUGUAUGUGACCAAGAACUUUCGUCACGCUAUUCCACUUGAAUGUGAAACUGUCUGUUCUGCGUAAGUUGGGGUUUAUUAGUAGAUUAUACAUUUUUUUUUUGUUUUCGAUAAAGAUUACACCUUUCCAUUUUCUUUAUAAAAUCUAACCAAAAAAAAUAAAAAUUGAAGUCCACUACCAGUGAGCUAAGCAAGUUCUACACCAGGUUAUUUCUAAUAAGAAGAGAGUAUUUUUGACAAAACCGCUUUUAUGCACUUAUGAUGUUAACCCUUGGUGCUCUGCCAUGUGCCAACACAUGAAGGGCAUAGGAGUAAAACUGUAAGAGCAGUAGGAUCAUAAGCACACUUUAAAGUUUUGCCUUUCCAAUGCAGAUCAACUAGCCAUACCUCAAUAAAUAAAUAGCUGCAUGCUUGAACUGAUGUCUAAUUACUAUUCACUUCAGAGUGAUGAACAAGGUCACUAGAGAUGUAUUGGAGCACUAAAUGUUGAGCAUUAAGCUUUGCUUUCUUUUUUACAUUUCUGCUUGAUCUCUCCAUUAAUGUUUCAAUGAAUGUUUCUUAAUUUUUUUUUUCAGAAGUAAUAGUUUUGAAAUAGUCUGCCUAACGGUGAUCCUAUACAUUUUAAGCUUUCUUAGAACAGAAUUUGCGUUUCAUCUUGUGUCCUCUAUCUCUAUUGAACUUGUUCAUUUUCGUCAUCCUUAGAAUUAGUAUUACUCAUAGUGUUGCUCCAUUGCUUGAAGUGCCAGAGCAAUGCGAAAUGACGUUUUACAAUUCUAAUAAUGUGAAAUAAAGCAAUUUGGAAGAGACACAGUAAGUGAUCCAAGGGAGAACCAGUCUCUUCCUUGAAUGUGACUUUAGAGAUGAAAAGAGAAAGUAAAGGGAGGAGAAAAGUGUGGCGUUUUAGUACCUGUGUAGUAGGACUUCUAUCCGUGUAUCAUAAAACCGGGCCUUUUGCUACAUUUGUACUCAGACUCCUCUCCUUGUUGUUUUCUUCUUCAUCUUAUUUUUCUAGUUUGCAAUGGCUCUUCUAUUUUUCUAUAUCUCUGUAUCAGCUGAGUUGCCUCUUACUUCGGACUUUUUGUUCUUUUGAUGUGUGGCCCUUCUCUUCUCUGCUUCUUCUGCUUCAAGCCUUUUUCUCCUUUUUUUCUUCUACUAUCAAUUGAUUUCAAUAGUUCUUUUUAUUCUUUCUUGUCUGCUCUUUAUUUCGGUAUAUCUCUGAUUCUUGAUUUAUAAGUUGAUUGAUAAGAAGAUAAGCAAUGACAGUUGCAACUUAAGUUGAUAUUAGUGCAUCAGUCAAAGCAAUCAAAUAUGAAUAUUGAACGCUGCCAAUCUAUUAUUUUACUCGUGAUGGGUUGAAAACAAAAAAAUCAGUCUUAUAAUUGAACUUAUCUUUCUGUAAAAUUGCUGAAACUAAAUGAUGCAUACUUUAUGUUAUAAUUAAGCUUUCUUUCUUCAAGAAAAAGAUAAAUAGCUUAGGAUGUGCAGGUUCAUUUCAAUCUGUUUCCUCAUAACAUUUAAACCUACCCAUACAGAGUCCAAUCUAUUUGUCUUCCAGCUGUGCACUUCAGUAGUGAAAGGUUUACAAUAAACUUUAAUAUAUCAUAUUCAUUUCUCAAGAGAGAAAGAAGGAUAAUGCCAAAUCCUGUUUGUUGUCUACCAUCUAUUGGUAAACAAAAAUUUACAAAACGAGAGAGGUUUCCAGAACAUCUUGGAACAUUGUGUCAGAAAAAGGUGUCCAAAAGCACAUAUGUCUUGUCAUAUCCGUGUAUUAUGUCCUCCAUGUCAAGCCAAGUUAAUUUCUGUGUACAAGGAUAGGAAACCUCACUUUUGAUUGAAAUGAAUGGUGCUUCUUCGGCCGGUGGUAUAAGAGGUGCUUUAUCCUAUUGUGUGCAGCAAGUACGACGUUAUGAUUAUCAUCACUACCUCUGCCUUCUUGAACUUCCAGCAAACAUGCGGAAGGCUGCAUUUGCACUCCGAGCUUUCAAUGUCGAGACAUCCCGAGCUAUGGAUGUUGCAUCUGAUCCCAAAAUUGGUCUUAUGCGCUUGCUGUGGUGGCAAGAAGCUUUGGACAAGAUCUAUUCAAACAAGGUGAUUGAGCAUCCAGUAGCUCAGGCCCUCACUUCUGUGGUAUCUGAACACAAGGUUAGCAAAAGUUGGCUUAAACGAGCUGUAGAAGCCCGAAUAAAUGAUGCAAAUAGAGAAAAUAAUGAUAUUCCACAAACUGUUGAAGAAUUGGAGCAAUAUGCUGAGGACACAACAUCAACUAUUCUGUACUCUACACUUCAAGCAGGUGGUAUUAAAUCCACAGCGGCAGACCAUGCUGCUUCACAUAUUGGUAAGGCAAGUGGACUCCUUUUGUUGCUUAAAUCACUGCCAUACCAUGCUAGUAGAAACCAUCAGUUUUCAUAUAUACCAGCCAAGGUGGCUGAGAAACAUGGAUUGUUGGUUCACCAUAGUGGUCAGUCAGAGAUCAAAAAGGACUCGCGUGAGGCCCUUUGUGAUGCAGUUUUUGAGAUGGCAUCUGUAGCUAAUGCACAUCUGCAGAAGGCUCGACAAUUGGCCGAAAGUGUGCCAGCUGAAGCUCGUCCUGUGCUUUUGCCUGCUGUGCCUGCCCAAGUCAUGUUAGAUUCGUUGGCUCGGGUGCAGUUUGAUGUGUAUGAUCCACGGCUGGCACAAGGAAUCUUAGGGGCUCCCCCCUUGUUGUUUCAGUUGAAACUGAAAUGGUAUUCGUGGAGGGGCAAAUAUUGACAUUACCCUUUUUCAUCCCUUUAUAGAGUGUGUGUGUCACUAACCACUGACCGACAUGAGUUAUUGAAUCCUUACAUGAAUAAAUUGAUGAUUCUUUGGUUGAUCCUGCUGGUGUUUGGUCCAUACAUGCGAAGAGAACAUAAGCUACACGUGUUUGGAUAAAUUUCUGCAAGUACUUUGGCCGUCUGGUUUUGACUUUUGACAGUCGUGGUUCACUCUGGAUUGCGGCUUUUUGCUUGAAGUGCUCGAUUUUGUCUGAGAAACGCAGCCAGAAAAUCACAAGGAACAAGCAUAUUAUUUGAGUGGGACUGACUUUGAAUCUAAUUCGACUCCAAAGCUAGCUCAUGACGUGAGAAUUUCUCAAGACCAGUUCCACAUCUCAGAAUCCAAUGUGGGACAACUUAACCAGAUGUCAUUUGUGAUAUAUUUGGAGCAGUGGACACCUAGUGUGAAAAGGCAUGUGAGGUCCUAAUAUGGAUUAUGCAUGUCAAAGUUUGGACAACCAUUUCUUGUUAAUCAAGAAUUUUUAGUUGUAAAAAACUGUUUCUCUUCACUGAUUACUAUUUUUUUUUUUUUUGACAAGUGUGGUGUCCGGAUCAGCUUGUAUGCAUCCCGACUAACUUUACGGGAUACUUAUUAACUCUCACCAACAACGGUAGGGUACUCAGUGACCCUGUCAAUCAAAACUAGGAUAGAUGAAAAAAAUCAUCUGAUGUUUUUAUCUCGACUGGAAUUGGAAUUUUGUGUUGAUGUUUAGUUCAAUUUAUGUUUUUACUAAGAAAGUCAUUAGUAUAUUAUGUUACUACGUUGUAAA